AUUGCAGAUAUGUCUUCGUAUCCGUUGCUUAAUGGUAACAUCGAUAGAAAGCACCGGGGCGCCCUUACGGAAGCGGGCAACAACUUAGACGUGUUGGUCACUCGUACCCCAAAGACUAACUGGCUGAUACACGAUUCAUGGGUUGAUAGGUUAAGUUGGGUUGGACUUCUACCCUUGGCACGGCUGGUUGAGGGUACAUUGGAUGAGUGGAUUGAUGGUCCGGACUUAGAUGAGGCAGGUGAACCAUUGCAGUUACACAAGAGGCAAGUGAACCGUUUCCCUUACGACAAGUCACUCCUUACCUGCUUAGUAGAUAGAUGGAGACCAGAGACACAUACGUUUCACUUUCCCUGGGGAGAGAUGGCGCCUACUUUACAGGAUGUGUCUUACUUGUUGGGAUUACCUCUGGCCGGUUCUGCCAUAGGUCCCUUAGAGGCAGAAUCUGGGUGGCAAGCAGCGAUGCAGACCCGUUUUUUGGCCGCGGUCCCGACUACUAGGGCCAUAGACAACGAUCCUCAUGGACCUCUUUUUAGAUGGUUGAGCCAGUUUCAGGUAACCAUCACGGCCACUUAAACAAAUAUUGUUUUUUAGUUGUCCGAUGUUCAUACAAUUAUUACGUUUCUAUGUAGAUUGUCUCGUUAGGACAUCCCAACGUUCAGUUGUCGGAGGCACAAAUUGACCGGUCCCUAGAGGCAUAUAUUCUUUGGCUGUUCGGCAAGACAAUGUUUACGGAGAACCAUGUGACCACUGUCGAUGCAUGACUCAUUGGUAUUGCACGAGAGAUAGCUGACGCACGUUGCCCUGCGGAUAUUCUAUAGAGGAGUUUUGGUUCUGCUGUGUUAGCGGCUACGUACAGAGGCCUGUGCAAAGCUUGCUUGUUGAAGUCUAGAAAAUCUAGUCAUGUUGGAUGUCCAUUAUUGUUGCAGCUCUGAUCAUACGAGAGAUUCCCUAUUGGACGACCCUAUGUCUACGUUGAUAAACCUUUUGGUUUGGAGGACUUAGCGGGGACUUAUGUGCCUACUAUCGGCGACUUACCUACUAUGGGAUUUGUUUGGACACGACGAGAGAGACAGUUUGUGCAUACUCAGGUUAGGGGAUGCUACCCGUCCUUCAUGGCGUAGUUUGAUAGUUUGCACGAGGAUCAAGUUAUUUGGGAGCCAUACUCGCCUCAGGCUAUAUCAUCGAGGUAUCCAGUUGGGAUUUCUGGAUUGUGCACUAGAGAUCGACACUUUUGGAUGACCAAGGCCAAGUUGGUGUUCGACGUGACGGUUGAGGAGAUGUCUCUUCAUAGGGUGAUGAGACAGUUCGGUCUAUAUCAACAGCCUGAGAUUCCAGAUAUUCCACACU